AAUCAUGGGGAGAGAGGACGUAAGUGGUUUUUUGUUUUGUUUUGUUUUAUUUGCAGUGUGUGCUGCCAUUAUCAUGGUCGUCAUUAGCAUUUAUUAACAGCGUACUUUUAUUGAGUCCUUAUUUUAAACCGAGCACUGUGAUGGAGUCUUUUGAGGAUGCUUUUCUUAAGACGAACAGGACCUUUUAUGAAAUUUAAAAAGGACCCAACCUUCCUGCUUGGAGUGGAGUUGUGGUGAACAUGAAUCAUGAGGAGCCAGUCACAUACAGCCCAGGGCUUAGUCCCGGCUGCCACUUGUCAUAGGCUCUGGGUCAUUUUGGUCCUGGUGAUGAUGAUGUGA
rnacentral:lncRNA from 1 species